GUGAGCAGAGUCUGUCUGGAGCUGAUCUGUCUCUAAUCUAAUUCACAGGUACUAAUAUACCCUCCUCCCAUUAGCAUCAGAAUGCCUGAUGGCAGAUAAGCUGGAAGGAGCUCCACAUUUUAAGGACAAACCAGAAGGAUGCUACAGACAAAGAUGAGGCAUAUGGAUGCUAUGAGAAGCAGGUUACUGUGUUUUGGAUCUCAAUGGAAGAAAUGUAUCUGAGGCUGAAACCUGGACAAAAUGGAGAUAACUGUGGAAGAAGGGGUCCAUGCAGAGGGACAGAGGAAGAUUAUGCCUGCAUAUUUCACUGGGCAUGUAAUUCUGCCUUUUUUCCCAAAAGAGUUUAGUGAAAGCUGUGGAUGCCUUCCCUAUCCCUGAUGUCACUUCUUGCUUGAAAACUCUGUUGGUUAGUAUGGUGCUGCCCAGGUCCUGUGGACAGCUGUGGAAAAAACAUAGGAGACGUCAUAAUCAAAUAUACAUUUGCUGGAGCAACAAACCUAUUCAGGAAAGAAGAGGUAGCUUUCCGAUACAGUGAAAUUUAACCCAGGCCCCAUACGAUUAGAUAGUACUGGUAUGACUAGAGUGUUAGUUCACCAUAAAAAUUCACCUCUGUGAAGUCCACACUCAUUCUCCCACACAGGCCUCCUCUUCUAAUGUAAGUAGUUAUUAGGGAUGGGCUUACUCAGAGGUUGAGAACUACUUCUGGUAUGUCUGCAAUGUAAUUGGGAGGUGUGAUUUGCAGCACAGGUAAGCAUACCCAUGCUAGCUUUGAUGUAGAUAGCUCACUAAGAAUAGCAAUGAAGUUGCAACAGCCUGGGUUUGCAGCACAGGCUAGCCAUCCAAGUCUGUACCCAGGCUCUGGUUGCAGUUUAGAGAUACCCUGUGGAGAAAGCCUACUGGCCAGUAUGACUAAGACUCCCUGUGUUGGGGUGUACUGGGCCCUUUGAUGACCCUUGCUGAAAGACUUGCGGUCCUACCACACGCCACCCCAGAAAAGGAGCAGUGAAGGUGGGUCCUCCAGGCCUGCCUCGAGAAGCUGCAGGGAAACAGCCAAUCCGAGCAGAGCAGGCCCAGUUGAAAAGGAGCUACAGGGCCUGAGCAGAUCAGUUGCUGGCUGGGACCAGAAGGGUGAGGAAGGACUGGAAAACAGUGAGACUCUCCAGGUGAGGAGGCCUUCCUCAAGCAGGAAGCAGACAGAGAAGAGGGAGGGGUGAUGUGGGAAGUGGCCCAGGGAAUAGCAGCAGAAACUAUUAUAGCAAGCAGAACAUGGCUGAUAUUUUUAGGGUCCCUGGGUCAGGACCUGGGGUAGUGGGUGGGCCUGGGUCCCCUAACCAGCCACUGGCAGGGUUGUCUAAGCCCCAAGAGGGGAUAAGGCUUGAUUAGAGGCCAAAGUGAAGGGUAGGACCUAGAGUCUCCAGGGAGGAAGCCCUGGGGUCACUGCUCUAGACUUAAAGCUAGCCCAGAAGGGGCUGAGGACUGAGUCCAGAGACCGGGCUAAAUGGUAAUGGGCACAGGCCCCGUUGGACCUUUUACCACAGAAGUGUUUCCUUCAGGUGUUUAGAAAAUGGGUAACUUAGUCAGAGGGCUGAGCCAAUGAAGACCCGCCUGAUGCGGGCAACUGCCAACAAGAGGUGACAGAAAAGGAAAGAGUGCAGGUUUGCACCCAGCCAACAGGAAGCACUCAUGAGAGGUGUGUUCCCCCAGUCACACCCCUCCAGAAUUAAAAGGAGUAAAACAGUAGUGUAGUUUCAGUUGUGUAUGUAGCACCAUUAAAGGUUAGUGCUAGGUCUGUAUCCUAACCAGCUUCUGCACAAGUGUGCUAGUUGGAGAAGAGGUUCCCAGAACACACACACUCCUCUCUCUUUCCACCCAUAGCAGUGCUUUUGUACAAGAUAGACCUAAAAUGAGCUGGAAGAUUUAAGAGUUGAGUUUUUAUAUCUUUACUAUCCUUCCCACCUUGUGGAAGUUUUUAUCUCUCAGUCACAGAGAAACUGGAAUUAUUGCUGAAAAUUAAAAAAUAAAUCUGAGAAUAGGGUUGGGUCUAGACAAUAGUCCUCUACAGCCAGCUGGGACAAGUCUAAACUACCUUUCCUGUGAAUUCAUGGGUAUGCUCCGAAUUCAUUACUCACCAUAACCCUCUAUGCUAUGAAGUACCUGAACUCUUCAGAUCCAGCUGUGCCCAUCUCUGUUUAUGCUUUUUUCUCUUGUUAUGAACCUCCUCAUUGGUCUUUAAAUCUAGGAUGAUGUUUGCUGAGAAACAACCCCGUUAUUCGAGGAACAUAUGUUCAUAACUAUUACAAGUCAGGAACAUUUGAAUAGUCUCCAUCUGGCACAAAUCAAUGUAGAAUCAUAAUAAAUGAGAAUUGUUAAUACUGAGAACUUUGUCUGGAAUUGUAGAUGUAGCCAUUGUUUAAAGUAAUUUGUAAAGAACUCUGAAGUUUCAGGAUUAGUUCAUCCAUAAAGGUUUUGCUUGGUCUGUACUUUUUAUUUUCAAUAAUGUAUAGAAAAUUAUAAAUUGGCAUACCAAAGCAGAUCAUGUUCUGCCACUUACAGUAACCAUAUGCUUCUAAGAAUGGUGCAAGAAAUCCUCAAUGGACAAUUAUGGAAUAAUCUGCCUGUGAGGAAAAGUUACUUCAAAAUCGCUGGGUGUGUUUUAAUCCACUGAAAGUUGCCUUUAGAGAAAGUAAAAAUAACAAACACAAAAUUAGAAUAUACUUCAGUAAAAACAGGCAAUACUCAUACACCAAAUCAGCAUUAUUUGUAAACAUAUACUGUAAAACCCUCACUGUCCCUUGAGUAUACAAGAUGCAUCCAACAUCCAUGAGGCCAUAUGGAGACACUGCAUUCAUUUAAACAACUAGUGCACAAUAAAAUUAUGUUGUCCUCUAAGUGCAAAUUGUUUAUUCAGGAGAGUUACACCUUUUUUUUUUCUAAAUUAAAAUAAAAAUACAGUCACUUUGCUACACUGAGAUUUUUUUCAUACAGUAUCUCAGAGAACCAUUGGUAUCUCCCAUAGCUGUCAACUAAUAGAAAUUCUGAAAAAAGAUAAACUCUUUCUGUGAUAGUUUAGCCAGUGUUCUUUGGGGUUCACUACUAGUCAUUCCAUAAGAAGUAGAAAAUGUAAGGGAUGCAAACUCUCGUGCUUGUU